AUGAGUUUGAUCCUGGCUCAGAUUGAACGCUGGCGGCAUACCUUACACAUGCAAGUCGAACGGCAGCACGGGGGCAACCCUGGUGGCGAGUGGCGAACGGGUGAGUAACGCAUCGGAAUGUACCCAGUAGUGGGGGAUAACUAGUCGAAAGACUAGCUAAUACCGCAUACGCACUGAGGUGGAAAGCGGGGGAUCGCAAGACCUCGCGCUAUUGGAGCAGCCGAUGUCCGAUUAGGUAGUUGGUGGGGUAAAGGCCUACCAAGCCUGCGAUCGGUAACUGGUCUGAGAGGACGACCAGUCACACUGGGACUGAGACACGGCCCAGACUCCUACGGGAGGCAGCAGUGGGGAUAUUGCGCAAUGGGGGAAACCCUGACGCAGCGACGCCGCGUGGGUGAUGAAGGUCUUCGGAUUGUAAAACCCUUUUGCCACUGACGAGGAAGGACGGUAGGUGGCGAAUAAGCCUCGGCUAACUACGUGCCAGCAGCCGCGGUAAUAU
rnacentral:rRNA from 1 species